AGAGUUUGAUCCUGGCUCAGAACGAACGCUGGCGGCGCGUCUUAAGCAUGCAAGUCGAACGGCAAGGCAGGUGCUUGCACCUGCCCUAGAGUGGCGGACUGGUGAGUAACACGUGGGUGACAUGCCUUUUAGUUGGGGAUAGCUACUAGAAAUAGUAGAUAAUACCGAAUGUGAUCAAUAUUUAUAGAUGAUGUUGAGGAAAGGAGCUAAGGCUUCGCUAAAAGAUUGGCCCGCGGCCCAUUAGCUAGUUGGUAGGGUAAAGGCUUACCAAGGCGAUGAUGGGUAUCCGGCCUGAGAGGGUGAUCGGACACAUUGGGACUGAGAUACGGCCCAGACUCCUACGGGAGGCAGCAGCUAAGAAUAUUCCACAAUGGACGAAAGUCUGAUGGAGCGACGCCGCGUGGAUGAUGAAGGCCGAAAGGUUGUAAAAUCCUUUUACACUGGAGGAAUAAGCAGAGUAGGGAAUGACUCUGUGAUGACUGUACAGUUUGAAUAAGCAACGGCUAAUUACGUGCCAGCAGCCGCGGUAACACGUAAGUUGCGAGCGUUGUUCGGAAUUAUUGGGCGUAAAGGGCAUGUAGGCGGAUUUGCAAGCUUGAUGUGAAAUCCCGCAGCUUAACUGCGGAACUGCAUUGGGAACUGCAAGACUAGAGUUACUGAGGGGAAACUAGAAUUCCAAGUGUAGGGGUGAAAUCUGUAGAUAUUUGGAAGAAUACCAAUGGCGAAGGCAAGUUUCUGGCAGAUAACUGACGCUGAGGUGCGAAGGUGCGGGGAGCAAACAGGAUUAGAUACCCUGGUAGUCCGCACAGUAAACGAUGUACACUAGGUGUUUGACCAUGAGGUUGAGUGCCAUAGCUAAACGCAUAAGUGUACCGCCUGGGGAGGUAUGCCCGNCAGGGUGAACUUCAAAGGGAAUUUGACGGGGGCCCCCACAAGCGGGUGAAGCUUGUGGUUUAAUUUCGAUGGGUACGCGAGGGAACCUUACCUGGGGUUUAACUUUUACUGGGA
rnacentral:rRNA from 1 species